rnacentral:rRNA from 1 species
GCUUGGCGGCGUGCCUAAUCAUGCAAGUCGAGCGGACCAUAGGGAGCUUGCUCCCGAAAGGUUAGCGGCGGACGGGUGAGUAACACGUGGGUAACCUGCCUGUAAGACUGGGAUAACUCCGGGAAACCGGGGCUAAUACCGGAUGUUUGAUUGAACCGCAUGGUUCAAUCAUAAAAGGUGGCUUCGGCUACCACUUACAGAUGGACCCGCGGCGCAUUAGCUAGUUGGUGAGGUAACGGCUCACCAAGGCAACGAUGCGUAGCCGACCUGAGAGGGUGAUCGGCCACACUGGGACUGAGACACGGCCCAGACUCCUACGGGAGGCAGCAGUAGGGAAUCUUCCGCAAUGGACGAAAGUCUGACGGAGCAACGCCGCGUGAGUGAUGAAGGUUUUCGGAUCGUAAAACUCUGUUGUUAGGGAAGAACAAGUACCGUUCGAAUAGGGCGGUACCUUGACGGUACCUAACCAGAAAGCCACGGCUAACUACGUGCCAGCAGCCGCGGUAAUACGUAGGUGGCAAGCGUUGUCCGGAAUUAUUGGGCGUAAAGCGCGCGCAGGCGGUUCUUUAAGUCUGAUGUGAAAGCCCCCGGCUCAACCGGGGAGGGUCAUUGGAAACUGGGGAACUUGAGUGCAGAAGAGGAGAGUGGAAUUCCACGUGUAGCGGUGAAAUGCGUAAAAAUGUGGAGGAACCCCAGUGGCGAAGGCGACUCUCUGGUCUGUAACUGACCCUGAGGCGCGAAAACGGUGGGGAGCGAACAGAAUUAAAUACCCUGGUAGUCCCCCCCUAAAC